UGGGCACAUCUACCCAGCUAUUAGGCCCCCAGCCCUAGGCUGGAAGCGAGCAAGCGGGCUUGUUCUGAGUCACUCUUCUCUUCUGGGAGCGGCGACUUCAAGUUCUCAGUGAACACUGAACAGAUCUUGGCUGAGACUCGAGGGACAGUCUUCAUUAAACAAACACAAACAUAGUUGUAUCUCUCAAAGCAUUGGCUCCGAUCUGGGUUUGCUUUGUUUGUUUGUUUUUUUUUAACUGCCUUCCCAGUAUGGUGGAGAACACAGAAUGUGGUAGCCUGG